rfam:Lachancea lanzarotensis strain CBS 12615 genome assembly, scaffold: LALA0S05
GGGCGUGUAACUCAGUUGGUAGAGUGCUCGCUUUGCAUGCGAGAAGUCAUCGGUUCGACUCCGGUCUCGUCCA